ensembl:lncRNA
CGUGACCAGGCCGGCUGCAGCGAUAGGCGCUGGCCGUCCGGCCGGGGCGGGGUCUCGCCGCCACCGCCCCUGGGCCCUGAAGUUUCCCGGGGUAUCCCGGUCCGCCAGUGGGCUGUCCGCGGGGGCGGGCUGCUACCCGGGCCCAGUGGGUUCCGAGUGCGCCGGCUCUGCGCCCGGGACAAGCGGCGAGCCAGUGACCGCCGCCGCCGCCCGGGUCGAGGCCGUGGCGGGCAGAGCCGAGGCUCUCGGGGCUUCUGUUCCGUCACGGCGGACGCCUCCCCCUCCCUCCGGGACCAGCCUGACAGAUGACAUGCCCCGCAUGUGCCACAGCCCUCCUCUCCUCCCCAGCCCCGGGAGGAGAGACGCGGUGUGGGAGGGCCCCCUGAAAAAGCCAGGGAUCCAGACUCAAAAAAGAUUAAGAGCUACUGGUGUUGACCGGGAGAAGAGGAGCAGCUGAAGAUCCAGCUCAGGGAAUGCAACAGAACUCAGCAGGAAGAAGUGGGGUCAAAGAAACAAGAAAACAGGACUGGAUGUGGGAGUGGUGGUGUGAAGUACUGAGGGUGUUAGUUACAAUGAAUUAAUGGUAGCUACAUUGUCAUGAUUGUACUAGCUAGGUAAUGUCAAGUUUAUAGAGUGUCUUGGUAUGUGUUGCAGUGUGUAAGACAUGUUCAAAAGGAGUUGUUCUUCUGCCCCAUAUAACGAUCACUUUGUUGAGUAAGUGAAGGAAUUACUGAAUAUAACCCAGUGCUGCCAGUGGGGAAGGGGUCUAAUUUAAAAAGCACCUGGAGCCAGCAUAUACACGGGACUGAAUGUGUGAGCGACGACCGUGGGAACAGGGGAGCUACUGAAGCUGGCUAGAGAUUAUGAUCUGUUUAGCAAGACGGGGCAUGCACAGAGAACCAGAGUACCAAUCAAAACAAAACUGACUGUCCAGGAUAUGGAAACAUUCAGAACGAUGUCACUCAGGGACAAAUGCUGGGGUCCAGGAGAUUCAGAAAAUUCAGGAAUGAAGCAACAGGACCUGUCAUCAUAAAAAGCCACAUGCUAAGAACAGUCUAUAAAGGAGCACCAAGAAAACAUGUUGAACACGAUUUCAUGUGGAAAUUAAACUAUAUUCUUCCACUACAUGGUGGCCUGAGAGCUUUCGCCACCUGUAGUGACAGCAAGCUCUAAUGGGAGCUUUCUCUGAAGAUUAGUGAUGUUGAGCAUCUUUUCAUAUGUCUAGGGGUCAUCAGUAUGUCCUCUUUGGAGAAAUGUCUAUUCAGGUCCUCUGCCCAUUUUUUAAUUGUAUUGCUUGUGUUUUUUUGGUGUGGCACUUGGUCGGUUUUGUUGAUUGUUAAAUCUCCAGCCCUCAGCCUAGUGCCUGUCACCAGCAGGACCAGCAGGAACAUGGAACAUAAAUUUACUGAAUUUAUUGAAUGAGUGAAGGAAUGGCAGGAAGUUAGCUAUGGGACCUCGGGCAAGUUUUUUGUUUUGUUUUGAACUACAUCUCCGUUUUCUCAUCUGUUAAAUGGGGAUGAUGACAAUGACCGAUCUCAGAAUUGCCAUAUAUAUUAAAAGAGACAGUGCAUGCUUAGCAUGGUGCCUGGCAUACAGCAAGGGCUAGGAAAUGUUAGUGACUAUUCUCAACAUUAAACAUGAGCUCUAUGAGCAACCAGAACUCUAAGUGUGGUUGGGCUUAUGAGUCCAAGGGGCCAUGAGGAACUUUGUUGAGGGUAUUUUUGGUUAUCACAAUGUUGGGAGAAGGGACUAUGCUACUGGCAUUUAGUGGGUAAGGAUCAAGGAAUUCGGAUAUCUGAAAUUUUUGCAAGAAGUUUCACGAAAAGCCCAGCUGUUUAGGAGAAGGUCAUUACAGGGAGGGAAGCUUAAAUGGAAUAGAGACAUCUUGAUCUUAUAACAUACUUUGCACAAUGUAUAGUACAACUACUUCAGAAACAAUGAAACCACUAUGUAACUUUACUAACCAUUGUCACCCCAAUAAAUUUUAAACAAAAACAAAAUAACAACAAAAAAACAAUAAAAUCAGUAGCAAAUGUAACAGGAUAUUGGAGAUCCCUUUUAACCUAGAAGGAAACACCAAAUGGACGGAGGCCACAUGAAAUUUACAGAUCUCACUGGAUUUCAUUAACAAAGGCUGUUUUAAAACUGCUCAAUACUUCCAUCCUGUAUACUUAUGUUUUUUUUGCACAAUGACAAAUGUUAUGAAAAUUCCUCAUGUGGGGGUGCUUGGGUUUUUCCCAUUUUACUCUGAUGCUGACCUCAGAAACGCACCUCCACAAUUGCCCUAUAGCCUGCUGUAGUACUUCUUUUCCAAUCCAUCCUUUUCCCAUUGCUUAUUCAGGAUAGGGUCUCCAAGGUUUGUGGGGGGGUUUUAGAUGUUAGAGAUUGAGUUUAUGCCUCAUUUGGUGAAAUUUCAAUGUAGAAAGUAUGUUUUCUGUGAUACUUGAACAUCAGCUGUACCCUAUCCCACAGCAUAACAGGAAAUUGUUUAAAAAUAAAAAGCGUGGCUCAUUUGUGAGAAUAUCCCAUGCUCCUAUUUUCAUACCUCAGUUUCUCAUAUCUGUAAAUUUCCAUUACAUGUAUCUUCAAAGUGUAUAAUCUGUCUUUCCAGGCUUCCUCCUUCCAUUAAAAGUAUUUCCCUCUUC